rnacentral:ncRNA from 2 species
CUGGGGACGCGCGAUGGAUCUCCGCCGGGGCACUUGAGUGCCCAAACCGCCGUUCUGGCUGAUGGUUCCUGCCCGGAC